GCUGGGUGCAGUGGUGCACACCUGUAAUCCCAGUGACUUGGGAGGCUGAGGCAGGAGGAUUGCAAGUUCAAAGCCAGCCUCAGCAACUUAGCAAGGCCCUAAGCAACCCAGUGAGACCCUGUCUCAA
rnacentral:sRNA from 1 species